rnacentral:lncRNA from 1 species
AGGUGUUAGCCAUCUCCCAGAAAGAACACGAAAAAUAAGUGUUUGAAAAUAUUCAUUAAAUGGCUUAAAUUGAGAGUGUUCAGGGUUUUUUUUCUCUUAUUUCAUUGUUUAAUUUGUAUCUGUGGUUGUGUUGUAGAGUGAGGAAAACUAAACAAAAAUUAAGCUUUCAGUUCUAGAAGUUUCAGCUUCCUAAGAAUGGAUUUUCUCAAAUUCAAGCUGAGCUGGUCAAAGUAGGAUGUUGUUAUAAGUCUUGCUAGGAAAGUAUGGCUCACUCAACUCAGUAUGUGGAGAACAGUUUAUUUACAAAGAGACUGAUCAUGAGAGUGUGGAUGGGGGGUAUGCAGACCAGAAGAGAAAGUACAAGAAUCGGGCAAGUCUGAAAUGAAGACUUUCUUGAGAUGGUCAGAGACAUUUUGUAGAGGGACACAGCCACUCAGGAUGCCCUCGCUGGGGGGGACCUGGAGGAAUAAACCCCUGACCUCCUCCUCCUGCCAAGGCUCUCCGGAUGCCAGCUGGAAAAGGGCCCAUUACUAUGGGCUCUGGAGUCCACCUUCCAGGACUCAGAGGAGCAGGGUGGGAGUACAGAUCCACAGCACAGAUAGGUCCCAAAAGACAUCCUUUUUAUUGUUGAGUAUGUGCCUCAGGGGGUAGGAUAUUCUGAAUCCUUUUGUAAAGGGAGUCUAACAACUUGAGAACUCUUCUGAGAUCUACAAAAGGCCAACCACAGUGGGAGAGGGUGUGGCCAGUCAAUGAUUUAGACACUGAGGUGCAAAGAGUUUGGUUAAAUUGUAUUCCUAUCAAGCUGUGGAGAGUGCUUUGCCAGUGUAGUUUUUAAUUUGCUCCAGACAUCGUAUCCUGACAUUUGCUGAACAGAAAAAUAAAUAGAUCAGACUUCCACCCAACAGAUUACAGCGAGGUCAGUGAUAUCAGUAAUUGAAAAAUUGAUUAAUAAUAAUCAAUAAUUUAAAAAUAUUGUCUACAGCAGAGGAUUUUUUUGGUGACAGGGAAUGUGAUGCUUUUAGUAGAUGUAGAAUGAAUUUGAUAGAUCCCUGUCCUGUGUUUAAAUAUUACCAGGCACCAGUCCUGCCCAGACAUUUUACAAGAGCCCUAGUUCAAAUGUGAUGUUGAUUUUUAAUAAUUACAGAUGUUUUAAUGGGUAACAUUUUUGGAGUUUUGUCUCUUUACUCGUUUUACCUGAAUUUAAAAUUGUGAUGCUAAAGAAUAUUAUCUUCAAUUACAGUUUUGGAGUUUAAGAUUCUGGGUGUAAGGUUUGGGGUUGGAGAUCAUUUUAUUGGAAUGAAUAAAGGGUGGGAUUUUAGGAUGUAAAUUGGAAGCUUGUUCUUACAAAAAAAAUGGUAAUAAACUGAUUUUUAUGAAUAAACUGUUAAGAUCUAUUAUGAGAGGAGGCAUAUAUAUGUAUUUGAUUUUAAAAUUAUUUUACUUAAAACAAUUUUAACAUAAAUAUUAGUGUGUAAUAAAUAGCUUGUAACUUAUUGAGAUCCUAGCUGGAAACUUGUAUUUUGCUUUUCCCGGUCAUGUAUUUUUCCAUUAAGGGUUUUGAUGUGAAUCUUUGUCAACCCUUUGUUUUUCCAGAAAACUAAAUGAUCAGAUAGGUUUGAACAGAUGUAUGAGGCAUCACAGAAUCAUUAUAUGCCACUUUCAUCUUACUUAGACUUGUUAUUUACAGAAACAGUGGGUUUUGCUAUUAACUAAAUUUAUCUUCAUUUCUCUGUGGUGUGAAGUGUGAAUCUGUGUGGUCCUAAAUUUUGGCUCUGUCUGCUUAGCUAAUUUUUUCUUUAAUUGAUGUCAGUCAUGAAUAAAGGCAAAGAAAAUCACCUAGAGAAGCAUUCUUUUUCUCUUUUCUGUAGGAACAGUUACCCUGUGGAGAUGAUUAUGUUGUAACAAUAGACGGAUAGACGUCCUGUUUAUAGAUUAAUAAAUGGGUCCUUUUUAUGGGUGUUCUCUCUAUUAACUCUCCAACUAAUGAUGAUGGAGUACACAUAUUCACAUUUAUCAAGAUGACAUAAGUUUGAAGUGAUUGAAGGAAAUACUUCUCAGAAGGAAUGUGCCAAUAAAUAUUCUUAAUCUGCGCCAAUGUAGCUUCCAUUACAAAUAAAAUAUAGAUACUACAUACAAGCAAUGAGUAUACUGCCUUGAAAGCAAUUAUCUGUUAAGCUGGGAAGACAGUUUUGUAACCAAAAUAUUUCUUAACAGUCAAUUUUAAUAGCUUGUUUCUUAUUAUUCUUAUGUGAGAAUGAUGUCUCUCUCUCUCCCUCCCUGUUUCUCUCUCUCUCAAGUCUUGUGAAGCUUCAUGGUGAAAGGGUAGGGCCAAAAUCUCCACAUCAUACCACCCACACAGUGUUCAUUCCUUUCACUGGCCAUUCCAUUGCCUAAUAUUUAAAAUCUGUAUCAACAAUGACAUCUCUAAUGGCAUAAUUCACCAUUAGAAUUUCCUUGGUCAUAAUUAGAAAUAAUUGCAUUGGCAAAGAGAUAAAUUUCACUGCAUCAGAAAGGGGAAAGGGGGAGCUUAUCAGUCUGUGGAGAGGGAUCUAUAGAGACAUGUGUCAACUUCAGGACAGUCUCUGAGUUUUGAAGUCCAGGAUCCACUCUUAAAACAUCAUCACCACUCUGUAGUCCCAUCUAAGUAGAGAUUGCAAACCACAGCUCUGGAUGAUUCUUUUAUCAGUGUAAAUAGGGAACAUCUUGGAUGAAGAACCAAAACCACUGGUCCACAAAACUAUAAAUGAUAUCUUACCUCUGAUCCACUUUGAGCAAUGGAAUUUGAAAGCAAAAAAUUGUUGGGCACAAGAAUGUAGGACUCAGAAAUGUGCCCUUGAAGCUUGGAAAUUAGACCAAAGUAGAAGUGGGGUUCUUGAUUAAUCACGGAAGUGACUGCUUACAGAGAGGCAGUCAGGGGGAGCAGAAAGACCAUGGACUUUGAAGCAGGACUGACUUGGUUCAAAUCCUUACUCCCUUGCUUAAUAGCUAUGUGCUCUUGAUCAACUUAAUUAAUCUCCUUGCGUCUCAGUUUACUUGCCAGGGAAGGUUGUAGUACAUCAGUCCUAGCACCUAUAAAAAUUAACAUGGAAUAAAUGCUAAUCCUCUGUAUCCUUUACUUGAGGAAAAGAGUGAAAGAAAUACAUAUGGUGAAAAUUCAGGAAGAAGCAAAUAGAACAAGGAUGAAUUAGAUGCAUUAACCUUAUUUCAUCCUGGCUGGUCUUAGAGGUCAAGAUUAAUGGCAACUUGGCUCUCCAAGCAAAUAUUCUUCACCCAUCUGUUUUGGAAUACCUGAUAGAUAUUCCAAAUUUGAAUUAAAUGAUUGGGUUUAUCUUGAUUAAUUACAAAUAGCAAAAUGAUUAUGAUUAAGAGUGAUGUUUAAAAUAUUUCCUUUAAAAGCUGAGCUCUUCUGUCUAGAGCGUUUACUUACUAAAAGUAUUUUUUCCUUUGUGGAAAUUAAAAGGGCAGAGCAGGAGCAGUAGGGUGUUUUUCAAGAAAUUCUGCUGUUCUCAUGUCAUUUGUAGAUUUGUACAUCAUUUGUUUUAAUCUAAGGAUCUUAGGGCUUGAAUUUGUACAAAAGAAAAUAAUUUCAAACUUCAAGAACAAACCCAAGGUAGAAAAGCAAGCUGUAGAAACUCACUCAGACUUUAGCAGAAGGCAAAUCUGGUCCCAGUUGAACUGAUCUGUCUGCUUAUUUCUAAGAUUACAGCAAAUCCCAAGAUUGAAUUCCUCACCUGAAUCACUUCCUUAUUGACUGAAUCCAUUUAGACUCCCCUCUAAUUUAGCAGAGUGUUUUUAUUAAAGCCAGGCAUACAAACAUCAAUUAUCCAAGCUGCAUCUAAUUUCCUUCACCAUUUAUUUUCCUUUGUUGGCUGCCAAUGGAUUAGAAGACAUGAUUAGAAUUCAGCAGGAAAAUAAAAACAACAACAAAAAAAGAGAAAAACAGUUCCACAAAAACAGAUGCUUAAACAAGAGCAUCAACAUUCAGAAUUAAAAUAACUUGUGAUUAAAAGAAAGUCCUUAUCUUGCCUAAUGUAAACAUGCUUGCUUGAUUUUUAUCAGCAAUGUCUACUGCAGUGAGACUGAAUUAGCAUGCUAAAUUGGAAUAAGCAGAGGCAAAACCCAAUAGGUUGCACUUACUGUGUGUAAUGUAUACACUAUAGCAUACUUUAAAUGCAAUAUAGUACUUAACUAUUUGCAAUAAUCAUUGCAAAAUGGCUGGCUUAUUGCUGAAAUCUUUCUUUUUAUUCACUUUCAGCCAAUGUCAGUGAGAGAAGAAGAAUAAAAGCAAAGGCAUUCAAGUCAUUUUGUGAACUUGUUAAAGGUACAGAUUUGUUUCAAAAGAAUCAUAUUAAAAUUGGAAUGGACACAUUUAUUAGUCAGCCCCUGCUACACCCUAGGUACAUUAAUGCUGUCAGUGACAGCAAGAAAAUUGUCCAAUAAAGGGAGAGAACUUAAAAUCUGAAAAGCCACUAUCAAGGAAACAGCAGAUGAUGCAAAGGAGGAGUGGUGCACUGAAUUUGAGGAUAGCCCUCAGUCAAUUGUGUCUUUGUCUGGAAGUGGCAAACUAUGGCCCAUGGGACAAAUCUGGCCUCCCACCUAUUUCUGUGAAUAAAAUUUUAUUGGAAAGCAGCCUGCAUAUUCAUUUACAUACUGUCUAUUACCAUUUUAAUGCUGCCAACAGCAGAGUUGAAUAGCUAGAACAUAGACUGGUCCACAAAGCUUAAAACAUUUACUGACUAGUCUUUCACAGAACAAGUCUGCCAACCCCUGGUGUAUAUCAGUGGCUCCCCCAAAGUGGCCCAGCUGUUUCUGAUGGUCCUGCAUGUGGCAUGUGUGAAACAGACCCUAGUUGAAACUAUGUCUCAGUAGCUAAGAAACUCUACUCUCAGAGCCUCGGUCUAUCCAUAAAAUAGAGGUUCUAAAACCUAUCUCAUAAAUUUAAUGUGAGUACAUUGUGGAUGCUGAAUAAAUGAUAGUUCCCUUCCUGGCCUCCCUGAAACUUGUGUAGGUGUCUGGAAAUCAAAGGCUUUUCAAACCCCUCCUCAUGGUGUUCGUCCUGUAAGACCCUGAUUUGGUGCCUGCUGGUCUGGUCCAUCUCAUUUUCUAGUGCUCCACGUUACAAGCCCCAGCCUCCUGAUACUCCUCAAGGUUCUAUUCAGUUGCUCAAAGGCACCAGCUUCUCUUCUGUCCCUUGACCUUUGCCUAUGGUAUUCUCUUGUCUUGAAGUACCUCCUUCCCAUUCCUCUCAUAAUCUACCUGGCCUCUUCCCAGCUGUCCUUGAGAUCAUAGGCUAAAUGUCUCUGCCUCUGAGAGGCUCUCCCUGACCACCAGGUAUAACAUGGGUCCUGUCCUAUGAUCUCAGAGUGCCCAAUGUCCCCUUCCCCUUCAUAACCAAUAUCAUGGUUUACAACUUCAGAAGUAGAUAUAGAAUAUUUUUUUGUCUAUUUUAAAUCUUUCUUGCCAGCCUACCUACUGACCGCAUCGAGUGGUUAAGAGUGUCUAGCACAAAGUAGGCCAUCCAGAAUAUAUUUUGAUUAAAUAACUUACUUUUCAUUCAGCAAUCUGGCAAUAUUUGCAUUUCAUUAAAUCACUUCCUUUAAAGAAAAGGAAGUGAAGUUUUGAUCCUGAUGACAGAUUGGCUGCAUGACUUGGUGCAGUUGUUUUUACCUUUCUGAGCCUCACUGUUUUGAUCUGUAAAAUAGGAGAGUUAAUAUCUACCUCAAGUGUUUGUGAUGGAAUCAGCUGCAGUAAUGAAUGAGAAAAUAUUAAGCACAGUGCAUAUUGUAGGACCUCUGUAGGUUUGCUAGCUCUGAAAGACAUUCAACAGUAGGUAAAGCUGUAGUCCCAACGGUUCUCUAGCUCUUCAGAAUGCUCAGUUUUCCUGUCUAUAAAAUGGGGAUAAUAAUUAUAUCUACGUCAUAUAGUAUAUAUGUGUUAAAUAUGUUAAUACCUGUAAAAUAAUUAGAAUACUGCCUACCACCUGCUAAAUACAUAGUAAACAUUAGUUAUUAUUGUAUUGGUGAUUAUUAUUAACAUCUUGAUUCUUAAAGAUUAUAGAUACUUCCUUGGGGAAAAUGCACGUUCAAGCAAAACUUUCUAAAUAUUUGCAAAGAGUUCACAGUUCGCCUCUUAGACAUAUCCUAUGCUGUCUGUAUGUGCUAUAUGUUAGCCUUGGCCAUCGUCUGCCUCUGAGGCCAAAUCCUAAAGGGGCAGCUUAGUCAUAGGCCUUGCCUAAAAUUAUCCCCCAAAAUCACUGUGUAUGUGAACAUACCUAAGAUUCUGUAGUGUUCAUCAAAUACUCAAAAGGGUUACACUCCCCCACAAUAGGGGGGAUUUUAGUUGUGAUUUUUGUUGGUUGGUUGGUUUUUUUAGGGUUGAGAUGCAAACCCUAUAUACCACAGCAUAUAAGUUUUCUUUUUUUUGAGAUUCAGUCUUUACUUUUAAUUACAGGCUGAACUCUGCGCCCAGAGUGUACUUUGCAGGGCCAACCAAACACACACAGACAUUUGAAAAACCCUGCUUUUGCACUACCGGCCACCUGCAAAGCCGUGUGGGUAGCUGUCUGGGGCCCAGGGGCCUGUGCCAGUGGACCUGGAACCGUAACUGCCUCGCUAGAUAAUCUUUACUUUUGUGAAACAGUAAAUAGCAACCCUUGUAAUCCUCACCCAAGAAUUUGGAAAGCCUGCUCCUGAAAGCACUUAGGAAUCUUCUGGUAGAGACUUUGGUUCUGAAAUAGACCUAGCACUGACUUUUUAAAACCAUUCCCUUUGCCCGAGUGGGGGAAGGAAAGACUAUUAAAAGUUUCUGUUGGUUUUCGGAGUUCCCAUUGUGGCGCAAUGGAAAUGAAUCUGACUAGUAUCCAUGAGGAUGCAGGUUCAAUUCCUUCCCUCACCCAGUGGGUUGGGUAUCUGGCGUUGCUGUGAGCUGUGGUGUAGGUUAGAGAAGUGGCUUGGAUCCUGUGUUGCUAUGGCUGUGGUCUAGGCCCACAGCUGUAGUUCCAGUCUGACCCCUAUGCCCCUGGUGCAAUCUAAAAAGCAAAAAAAAAAGGGAGUUCCCGUCGUGGCGCAGUGGUUAACGAAUCUGACUAGGAACCAUGAGGUUGCGGGUUCAAUCCCUGCCCUUGCUCAGAGGCUUAAUGAUCCGGCGUUGCCGUGAGCUGUGGUGUAGGUUGCAGACAUGGCUCGGAUCCUGCAUUGCUGUGGCUCUGGUGUAGGCUGGCAGCUACAGCUCCAAUUAGACCCCUAGCCUGGGAACCUCCCAUAUGCCGCAGGAGCGGCCCGAGAAAUGGCAAAAAG